rnacentral:rRNA from 1 species
AUUGAACGCUGGCGGCAGGCCUAACACUUGCAAGUCGAGCGGAUGAAGGGAGCUUGCUCCUGGAUUCAGCGGCGGACGGGUGAGUAAUGCCUAGGAAUCUGCCUGGUAGUGGGGGAUAACGUCCGGAAACGGGCGCUAAUACCGCAUACGUCCUGAGGGAGAAAGUGGGGGAUCUUCGGACCUCACGCUAUCAGAUGAGCCUAGGUCGGAUUAGCUAGUUGGUGGGGUAAAGGCCUACCAAGGCGACGAUCCGUAACUGGUCUGAGAGGAUGAUCAGUCACACUGGAACUGAGACACGGUCCAGACUCCUACGGGAGGCAGCAGUGGGGAAUAUUGGACAAUGGGCGAAAGCCUGAUCCAGCCAUGCCGCGUGCGUGAAGAAGGUCUUCGGAUUGUAAAGCACUUUAAGUUGGGAGGAAGGGCAGUAAGUUAAUACCUUGCUGUUUUGACGUUACCAACAGAAUAAGCACCGGCUAACUUCGUG